rnacentral:rRNA from 1 species
AUGAACGCUGGCGGCGUGCCUCAUACAUGCAAGUCGCGCGAACAGACGAGGAGCUUGCUCCUCUGACGUUAGCGGCGGACGGGUGAGUAACACGUGGAUAACCUACCUAUAAGACUGGGAUAACUUCGGGAAACCGGAGCUAAUACCGGAUAAUAUAUUGAACCGCAUGGUUCAAUAGUGAAAGACGGUUUUGCUGUCACUUAUAGAUGGAUCCGCGCCGCAUUAGCUAGUUGGUAAGGUAACGGCUUACCAAGGCAACGAUGCGUAGCCGACCUGAGAGGGUGAUCGGCCACACUGGAACUGAGACACGGUCCAGACUCCUACGGGAGGCAGCAGUAGGGAAUCUUCCGCAAUGGGCGAAAGCCUGACGGAGCAACGCCGCGUGAGUGAUGAAGGUCUUCGGAUCGUAAAACUCUGUUAUUAGGGAAGAACAAAUGUGUAAGUAACUAUGCACGUCUUGACGGUGCCUAAUCAGAAAGCCACGGCUAACUACGUG